rnacentral:lncRNA from 1 species
UGAGAGUGGAGCCUGCUUGGGAUUCUCCCUCGCGCUCACUCAAAAUAAGUACAUAAACAUUUUUAAAAAAUAGUAAACAGAAACAUAAGUAAUAACAAAGACAAGGAAAAGGGGGGAGGAAUAAAAGGAAACUCUCUGGCUUACUCUGUAUCAUCACAUGGAAAAGGAGAAACCAUGAUGAAUGGAUCUGAGGAGUGUCUACUGAAGGUGAGGGAGUGUGUGGACAAGAAAAUGCUCUUUUCCUAAUUUGUCCCAAGACAGCUCAAGAAAAACAACAAAACACUACCCUUGACAAAGCAUAGACUUGUAUUAACAUUUUAUUCCGGCAUUUUCUAGACACUGAAAAGGAAGAUGGGUGAUAGGGAGUUUCUGGAGUCAAAGCUUUUGCUGGACCGGAACAUGCAAAGUUCUCUCCUCGGUGGAGUAGGCAACUCGGUGGCAUCCGUCCCUACCACUGUCAAGGCCAGGCCCUUAUCACCCGAUGAAUGUGCAUCGAAGCCAAUGGCACUUGCGUUUCUUUGUCUGAAGGAUUUCUCUAGCCUCUGGAGACCAGCCGGCCAUCAGCAUUGUAGAGCACACUGGGGAGCCACCCUCAAGCAACAAGGACAGUGUCGGUGUAUAAAUACAUCAACUCCCUCCUUCCACAGGGGGAACAACUGUGAGGUGUUUUUUCACACUCGCUUGCAGAGAUAUCCAGGAAGCCUUCAACCGCAGUGGCCUACGGUGGCAGCUGUCUUGAUGAUGCAACUUUCCUUCCCUGUGUCACUUCCUACCCCUUCCUCAGUACUUCCUGGUACCACCUACCCCAUAAACAACGUGCCCACAAACCUUUAUCUCAAGUUCUGCUUCUGGGAGAACCAUACACGAGACAGAAUCUGUGCCCACGUUGAAGAGAGGGAGAUUUGCACGGAAUCAGAUGAUGAUAAGCCUGGUCUCUGGAAAUGGAGACCAAAUGGAGAAUCUGGAUUGAAAUCCUGGUGCAACCACUUACUGCCUCUGAAACCUUAG